GCGCAGUUGCCCGGACAAAUUUGUAGUGGAUAAUUUGCAAUUUUUUGAGCAUGUGCCUUUGGUUAACUAUGGCGUCCUCAUUGGACUGUGGACAGAAGACUAGUUAAUAGUUUAGUUAAGAUUUUCCUGGUGCAGCUAAUUGCUCAGUGCAGCUAAAAAGUUGGGAGCUAGGCCACCACUAAACAUGCUUGCAAAUAAGUUAGCUAGCUACUAAACAUUGCCCUAGCAGGUUAGCUAACAUAGAAUGACACAUAAGCCGAUGUUGACGUUCUUCCCCCGUGUUUGCUCUGGCGGCUAGGGAAACGUGAUUAAAGCUGUUAACUUCGAGAGGGACACAAUCUCUUUUUAUCAGGAAAAUGAUUUGGACCCUGGAAAGCGCUGAGUUGGAAGCGGGAUCUUCUCUGGAAGACCUUUCCCAGGGUUUGCUCCAGUUUUGUAAGGUAGGUUGUUUUCAUUAGCUCUUUCUGUGGCUGUUGUGACUGAGUGACACUACAUAUUUACAAAGUACUGUGUGAUU